rnacentral:rRNA from 1 species
UACGGAGGGGGCUAGCGUUGUUCGGAAUUACUGGGCGUAAAGCGCACGUAGGCGGCUUUGUAAGUUAGAGGUGAAAGCCCGGGGCUCAACCCCGGAAUAGCCUUUAAGACUGCAUCGCUUGAACACGGGAGAGGUGAGUGGAAUUCCGAGUGUAGAGGUGAAAUUCGUAGAUAUUCGGAAGAACACCAGUGGCGAAGGCGGCACACUGGACCGUUGUUGACGCUGAGGUGCGAAAGCGUGGGGAGCAAACAGG